CCGUGGGUGACUGCGUGUCUAAAGGAAGCGAUAGGGGGACGAUGGAACGUAGCGUGAGCGAACCCGAUUCGGCUGGUUGCUCGGACGAGCCUGCAAAAAGUGGCGAUGUCCGAUUUAUGAACAUGAGCAGCAAGUGCUUGGGGACGUCAUCAUCGUCAGGGAGCCAGC
rnacentral:ncRNA from 1 species